rnacentral:misc_RNA from 1 species
AAGACUAUAGACCUGCGGAGUACCUGCGGAGGGAUCAUUACUGAAUGGCCUUUUUGGCCUUCAAACCCUCAAACCUGUGGAAGAGAAAACGUGUUUCGGCGCCCAUGGGCGCCGCCCUUAAUGCAAAUGUCAGUCUUGUGUCUGAAAUAAAUUAAAGGUUAAAACUUUCAACAACGGAUCUCU